GAUGAACGCUGGCGGCGUGCUUAACACAUGCAAGUCGAGCGAUGAAGUUUCCUUCGGGAAACGGAUUAGCGGCGGACGGGUGAGUAACACGUGGGUAACCUGCCUCAUAGAGUGGAAUAGCCUUCCGAAAGGAAGAUUAAUACCGCAUAACGUUGAAAGAUGGCAUCAUCAUUCAACCAAAGGAGCAAUCCGCUAUGAGAUGGACCCGCGGCGCAUUAGCUAGUUGGUGGGGUAACGGCCUACCAAGGCGACGAUGCGUAGCCGACCUGAGAGGGUGAUCGGCCACAUUGGGACUGAGACACGGCCCAGACUCCUACGGGAGGCAGCAGUGGGGAAUAUUGCACAAUGGGGGAAACCCUGAUGCAGCAACGCCGCGUGAGUGAUGAAGGUUUUCGGAUCGUAAAGCUCUGUCUUUGGGGAAGAUAAUGACGGUACCCAAGGAGGAAGCCACGGCUAACUACGUGCCAGCAGCCGCGGUAAUACGUAGGUGGCGAGCGUUAUCCGGAUUUACUGGGCGUAAAGGGAGCGUAGGCGGAUGAUUAAGUGGGAUGUGAAAUACCCGGGCUCAACUUGGGUGCUGCAUUCCAAACUGGUUAUCUAGAGUGCAGGAGAGGAGAGUGGAAUUCCUAGUGUAGCGGUGAAAUGCGUAGAGAUUAGGAAGAACACCAGUGGCGAAGGCGACUCUCUGGACUGUAACUGACGCUGAGGCUCGAAAGCGUGGGGAGCAAACAGG
rnacentral:rRNA from 1 species